GGCCCCGUCGUCUAGCGGUUAGGACACCAGGUUUUCAUCCUGGGAAUCAGGGGUUCGAUCCCCCUCGGGGUCA
rnacentral:tRNA from 1 species